UUAUUUUUCGAGUAUUUAUUGCUUAUUUAAUCUAUUUUGAGCGAUCUGCAUUAUCUAUCGUCUUAUCAAGAUGUGUGAUGCUCUACUUUAACCAUUACAAAUCCUUUGAUCCCAAAAAUAAUUCUUAGGAUUUUUGUUGUAUUUCGUGUUUCAUUUACGGGGUAAAUUUUUUUCUUUAUGUGUAUACAAAAGUCUAGUUCUGUUGGAAAAGCACAAGAUUAUAAAUACUUUGAUAAAAUGAUAGGAGAUUGGGUUUGAUUAUGAUUCAUUUGUUUAUUACUAUAUCGCUGGUUGUAUUUGCCUCUAAAGGAAAAAUUCAAGCAGCUUGUUUGGUGUUCGAUAAAAUGUCACAUAAAGUAUAUUGUAUUAAGAAGUGGGAUAUAUAACUGACGUGAUAUCUAUAAGUUGUUACUACAUUAUUGUAACUAUUUUUGAUCAGUGAAAAUCUUUUCAACUGUCUAAUUCUCCUUAGGUUCAUCAAAUCCAUGAUCCUUCCCCUGUUAAAUUUGCUUCUGAAGUGAUAACUUUUGAAGUUUCUCUACCAAAAAUAAUAUUUUGCUAUGAUAUUUUGUUACUAUCUGACCUUGUAUAUGAAAUCAUUUCGAAGAUAUUCAAAAGUUUAGAGAAAGCGCCUUUUCAUUUUUCCAUUUUUUGGUGGACAUCCACAUUUGAUGUUGUCCGUAUGUAAUGCAUAAAGCAUAAGCUCUCUAUUUUUAUCUUGCAGGUGGACACGAUGGAUCUUUAGUUCUUUUAUUUUCUUUUCCACAAAGUUCAAAGUUCGUCAUUUUAAUUUACAUCAGAUUCUAGUAAUGGUGAGUGGAGGCAGUGACAUCACUCCAUUAUUGAGAGCUUAUUUAUAUUGCUGGCUCAACAAGCUGCAAGGUACCAAAAGUUCUCCUUGAUGCUUUCAAGAAACCAGCGCAUCUCGGCAUGCUAGACCUUCUCCUUCCCUUUUCAAGAACCACCUAUGAUGUUUUGUUAUUACAGCUACGCAUUGAGUCAUAUGUAACAAGAGAGGUAGAACCUUUGAAAGACAACUAGAUGCUCCUAGAAAUGCUAUAGCUGAAGCCUAAUGCUUCAGAAAGACCAGUUUUUGCAAUUUUAUUUUAGACCAACUAGCUCUGGCUUGAAACAAAAAAAAGAAGAAUAAGGAAAUGGUGCAGAUUCAAAGCAAUGACAUCCCAACACUGAUGACUUCUUCUAGCCGGACUCAUGUGGAAGAAUGUCGAUAUGAUUAUGACGAGAUAUUUGUUAGACUAAAAAUGAUAUUGGAGUCAAAUGGUUUAUUCUUUCUCUUAUGUUGUCGCCACUUUGAAACCAUGGAUUAGAAGCUUUUGUUUGUUGUAAAUUUAAUGAAAUAGAUCUUUUUCGAA